CUUGGAACAUGGAUGCCCUUCCUUCACUGUAGGUUUUCCUCACUCAAGCAGCAAUGCUCACUUUUCUACCACUUGGAUUUCUUCCCUGAGCAUUGCAGCGCUUUGGCAUCAGCCAGAACAGCAGCAAUGUCAACAGGCUGCUGAAUGCUGGAGUUGAUCAACCACUGCUGUUCACAAGAUCAUCAACAUUUGUGAAGGUGUCUGGUAUUUAUGUAUGCAAGGCUGGGCAAAAGCACAAAACUGAAGCUUAUUCCUCUCAAGGUGGGUACUUGAAAGUAUGUGCACCAAUUUUAGUCAGAAAUUUAAACCUUAUGUGAGGACUCA